rnacentral:rRNA from 1 species
AACGAACGCUGGCGGCAGGCCUAACACAUGCAAGUCGAACGUGAAGCCACCUUCGGGUGGUGGAAAGUGGCAGACGGGUGAGUAACACGUGGGAACGUACCCUUCGGUUCGGAAUAACCCAGGGAAACUUGGGCUAAUACCGGAUACGUCCGAAAGGAGAAAGAUUUAUCGCCGAAGGAUCGGCCCGCGUCGGAUUAGCUAGUUGGUGAGGUAACGGCUCACCAAGGCGACGAUCCGUAGCUGGUCUGAGAGGAUGAUCAGCCACACUGGGACUGAGACACGGCCCAGACUCCUACGGGAGGCAGCAGUGGGGAAUAUUGGACAAUGGGCGCAAGCCUGAUCCAGCCAUGCCGCGUGAGUGAUGAAGGCCCUAGGGUUGUAAAGCUCUUUCGCCAGGGACGAUAAUGACGGUACCUGGAUAAGAAGCCCCGGCUAACUUCGUGCCAGCAGCCGCGGUAAUACGAAGGGGGCUAGCGUUGUUCGGAAUCACUGGCGUAAAGCGCAUGUAGCGG